GGUGGACCGUAAAUGAUACGGUAUAUCCUUCUUUUUUUCCAUUUUGCGCAACUUGGCAGCUAGGGGACGAGUAAAGGAUAAAAGCGAGAGAGAGAGCAAAGAGGAGGGACUCACCGCCGAUCCCAAUGGCGCCGGCGGCGGGGUGGGGACGAGUACCGGAGCCAACUAAAUCGCGGUGGCGGUGGGGAAAAGAGAACAGGUGCAAGAGAUAGGAACGUUCUUUGGAGAGGAGAGGAGUAGAGAGGAGGCGCAGAAGGAGGCCCCUCGGAACGCCGACGUCGUCCUCCCCUCUGCUCCUCCGGCCCGGUCGGCUAAAGGAGCGGCCUAGACCUCGCGUCCCCGCUGCGACCGCUCAUUGGCUAGUACCUCCUCGUAACCAGCGGCCACUUCUUUUAUACCCUCCCUCUGCUCUCCUCGUGACUAGUCCCCCUCAGUAGUCCCUACCAGCUACGGUUCCAGUCGAAAUGGUUAGUAAGAGGGGGUAGAAACGUCGUUCUGAGUAACCCAAGGAAGCUAGAUUCGGCCAAAUACAGCAAAACGAAGUAUAUUAGUACCACCUUGAUCCGAUAUAAAGAAUGUCACUUCGCUCCCACUGAUUUUUUUAAACCACAUGCAGUUAGUAAUCGAACUUAAAAAUGGACGUCGACUAGAAUAAGACCACUCUUAAACUACUGUCCCUCUUAAUAAUAAUAACAACAACCAGUUCCAUUGACGCUACGUGUACUACGUUCUUAAUAUAAACACGUCUCCAUCGAUGUUGAUACGUUUAGUCAAACUACGGGAGACAAUGAGAGAAUAAAAAACAACUUGAUUGGUUAUGGUCUUGUGUUGAGAUAGGAUGUACUUGAGUACACAAGAAUACGUCGGUAAAAGACAACAUCCUCCUCGUUAUGAGUCUCACACUCUCAAUUCACUCUUAGACAACUUUGAUUCCAGUGUUGUCUAGUCCAUGAAGUAAAAACAAAGUUGAAUAUGACGAGAGAUUACAAUAUAGACGUCUGACGUCCUGGAGGUUUGAUUUUUAUUUUAACUUAAAAGAACCGUCUAAGUCAACAGAUCUUUGAUUAAACACCACAUCAAACUUUUUUCCGUUUUCUGAGCCUAUAUCAGUAUCUUGAUGUUGUAUUUCAAACUCCUCACAGGGGUUAGGGUAGUAGAAAGAGAAUCAAAAAUGAUGUACUAAGAGACACUACUAAAAUAAGAUUAAAGAGUUAAAUACAAAAAAGAUUUGUGUUGCGGACGCCCAAACUAUUUCUUCUCCUUCUUAAAACUCCUUCUUGAAACACUUUUAUGUCAGUGAAAGAACGUAAAACUGCACAAAACGGUUAAAGACAUAUAACGAAUAUACCAACGUGGGUUCCGAACCAAGUACCAACGACUACGUAAAAGAUAUCUUUACGCUACAAAAACAAGUAUCAUACUUGUCUUCAACUUGUCAGCUUUUGGAUACACUUUCGUCGCCGCUUUUCAUACGAACUCCUUCUCCAUACCUUGGUCGCACGGGAAACCAGUUUCUUAAAAACAUUCUAAGGUUAGGUACGCCUUAAGAGCUUUGGUAAAUCAAGUUUCCCUACUUAAGGGGUUUUAACACACCUAACAAAAGGAUGUGAUACACGAAGAAACCAAGUUUCCUUAAAAAUUCGUUAAACAUCCUAAGGUUGGAUAUCUGCAAAAAAGAUCUCAUGAAAACUAAGUCUCCUCAUUGGUGAGGAUUUAAGGAGAACUGACAAGCGGUUGUGGUGCUAAGUUAUCUUAAAGAUCGUACAAAACCACAGUAUUGAGCUAUCUUUCAAACACAAAAAGGACCAAGUACAUGCUAAGGUUUACAGUCCUAUAUAUAAUGAGAUAAAAAGUACAAGGAUACACAAGUAGUCUAGGACGCUUCACUUCUUCCAAGACGUUGAGGUAAUCUAACUAACUUUUAAGGGAAUAUAGAACUCUUCGUACUGUACGUGAACUGUAGAUAUAUUUCAAAGAAUACCGGUGUACUACGGACCUAUGAAUGGAUUUUAUGUAGUAAUCAGGUAGUUUUGGGUAAAUAACUAGGUCAUACUAACGAAUCUAGGUCUGCCCAGAUGGAAUGACUAUCGAAUUAUGAUAGAUCUCGUAUAAGAAAAAGGGAAACAAAUUAACUUAUCGUAUUAUGAUACCAAUAAUUCUUUGAACUUGUACACUAUAACAUCUAGAGAUAGAAGGUACAAGGGUGGGACUACAAGAAAUCUAUAAGAAGGUAAAUGUCGUUAGAUUAAGAACCCACUAUUAAAACUGUUAGUAAUUUGGAAAGUCCAGACGGAUAGACAACUACCACUAUCUUUUCGUUGUAAGUCUAAACCGUCAACCUAUUUCUUCGAAGCAAGUGUUAUAUUUCCGACUGUUCUUUUGAUGUCUUGCUCAUUUCUAAACGCUGAACCUUCGCUACCCUAGUUUACCAAACAGAAUUCUCUUGUUAUGAUAGAUAAAGAAUAAAUAACAUGCAGUUUACUUCCUGAACGUCUACGUCUUAUAAUCGUGUUUCUUUUUAGAUAUACCAAAAUUCCCAAACCUAAGUAGCCAUACAACACACAAAGAAGUGGACGAGACCUAUACUAACGUGUUAUAAAGUCCAUGACCAGGGGAAAUACAAGAAAGAGUAACCUUAUAAAUCCUAAGAGUGAAUUAGUGAAACAUGAAACCAUGAAACCACACACAAGAAAAUUAAAAGGGUGUCUUUAGCAGGUACCUAUACGUAACAAUCCACUGUUCAAAAACGCCCACCAUGCCAAGGGUAGACAGAGACUACUUUAUAAGUGAAUGGUAUGAUCAAGCUAGAGUUGUAAGGUGGGUAAAAAGUGUAGAGAUAGUAGCGAACCUAAAACAGAGAUUGUAACAACGAAAGGCCACCGCUCCCUCGGGAAGUGACUCGGCCACCUCCACAGGAACAGCAUCCGUCCCAUUACCUAGUGACUCACGCUCGACGACACAACCAAGCAGUCUCUCCGCUCAGAGUAGAUGAAGUUUAAGACCCCGUAAGAUGACGGCUAACGUCACCUGUGAUCGUUAAUUAUAUAUCAACUCAACAAGCUAACCAACAACCAACCGGCUAACCCUACCACAAAUGAAUGGAUAUUAGACUCGAUAUUCCCACUUGUUCACAGGUUCAUCUACUUAAAAGUCGUCAAGAUACUCCAUGUCUGGCAUGAUGACUUUAUUGUUCUGUAAACUUCCCUCAUCAUGUAGUCUAAGCAAAUACCAGGAGAACGGUGGAAUUAUCACAUAAAGACUGAUGUAAUACAAUAGUUAUCCAACAUAUCGAAGGUUUAUGGCAUCUUUAGUUUCUCAAACUUGACAAAAUUGACUCUAAUACAGUUAUAACAAUCAGAAAUGAGGAAACAAUGACAAAUACAACAGA
rnacentral:rRNA from 1 species